ACUUUCCCUCAUUUCACUCUUAAACUCUAAACCCCAACUCUCCAGAUUACAUAUUGCAAACAAUGGCGUCAUUGGAUUCAAAAGAAUCACCUGCCAAUAACCCAGGCCUUCAUUUUCCCCCUGAUGAAGCCACCAAAGGCUACAUCAUGCAGCAAACCGUAAGUUCCUGUUUUGGAUGUUUACAAUAUGUACAUUGCUAUGCCUUUCAAGGGAAUUUAUGUUUUUUUUUUUUUUGGGUUUUGCAGAUGUUUCGUAUUAAGGAUCCAAAGCGCACUCUUGAAUUUUAUAGUCGUGUUUUAGGCAUGAAGUAAGUUAUAUUUCUCUUCUUUUCUUAAUUUAAGCUGUUUUGUAUUAUAAAGUUAAAUAAAUAUCUUUUGAAGUCAAAAUAAAAAGUAUUUUUGAGUUAAAUUAUCUAUUAUUUUCUUAUUUAUCUCUUCUAAACUUGUUUAUAAACACUUUUAUUAUAGAAUCUAUUUUCAAAAUUGAUUAUUUCUAAAAUCAAACUCUUAUAUUUGAUUUGAUUGUUAAUGGAAUCUAUGAAUACAUCCUUUUUCAGGUUGCUUAACAAAGUGGAUGUUCCAUAUAUGAAAAUGACAUUGUAUAUGAUGGGAUAUGAGGUAAAACUGAUUUAAUUAUAUUGCAAGAAAUUGUAUUCUUAUUGGUCUCAUUUCCUUGUGCUAUCAUCUUUCGCUUAUUGGUUUUGGGUGCCACCAUUUGGGUAAAUUUAAUUAUGUUUGAUUCUAAAUGCAUGUGUUCCCUUGGAUGUAGGAUGUUUCAUCAGCACCAAGUGACCCAGUUGAGAAAACUAUUUGGACAUUUGGAAGACCAGCUACUAUGGAACUAACACAGUAAGAAUACAUUAUUUUUAGAAAAUGAAAAAUUAACCCACCUUUUGAUUUAGCAAAGUUAUCAUUUUCCUGUACGGGAUUGUUAGAUUCGAAUCGGUUCGAUCGAUUACAUCGAUAAAAUAUUGAUUGACCGUGUAAAAGAGUUGUUGAAAGAUCAUUUUAAAUUGAAUUUAAGCUAGUUUAAAUAUUUAAUUUUUUGGGUUUUGUUUUUUUUAUCUUGAACUAAUUAAAUCAGCAACCAAUUUUUACAACACUGAUUUAAUAGUUUAACGUUUGCUACAGCUUUUGGGGUACCGAAAACGAUCCUGAAUUCAAAGGAUACCACGAUGGGAAUUCAGAACCUAUUGGCUUUGGUAUGCAUAGUUUUUGCCUCUUUUGCGACGUUAUUCUUCCAAGUGUUUACAUUUAUAAAUUAGAAGCUGAGACAUUUUGAUGGCAUAUACAAUUCGUUUGUUUUGCCUUAUUGAACUCCAAUAGGAGAAAAUAAUUAUAAUAUAUGUAUUAAUUGCCGUCCUUAAAAUAUAUGAGAAAACUUUAGAUAAAAAAAAAAACCAGUAUUACCAUGCCACAUACAUGGUUGUAUCUGAUAUUCACCUUCGAAUGUAUUCCUUUCCAGGGCACAUUGGCAUCACUGUGGAUGACAUGUACAAGGCCUGCGAGAGAUUUGAAAGUCUUGGAGUAGAAUUUGUCAAAAAACCAAGCGAUGGUAAAUCAUCUCAUCUAUAUUAGUAACCAAAGUUAUGUCUGAAAUAUUUCCUUUUGGAUUUUUGUUUUUUAAAAUUGCAUCAAUUCAUGCCUCGUUUGCCAAUCUGAUUUAUAGGUUUUGCAUUCAUCAAGGACCCUGAUGGUUAUUGGAUUGAAAUCUUUGAUUUGAAAGGAAUUAGACAAAUAGUUAACAGUUUAGCUUGAGUUAAUGCUUCACCAAAUUCAGGUAACUUUUUAUUGCUCAUCAUUUUUGUACAUCAUUGUAAAUCGAUCUGAUACAUUUCGGUGUUGAUGUCGAUGCAGGAAACAAUGAUAUGGCAUAUGUUGUAGAUUCCAAUGUCUACUCCCAUACAUUAAUUCCUUUGCUUUCCGAAACUUGUCGAGGGACAAACUCAAGUGAAAUCUUAAUUGAAGCACAUUUCAUUCUAGUUGUGUUCAUGUUUUCUUCACGUUUGAUAUGUAUAACAAAUAAUGUGAAAAUAAAGAAUUUUGUAAGAGAAAUUUCAACCUUCAAAUUUACUAAAUUCUAUUUAAAUUACAUAUAAAUUUGUAUGCCAAUAUAUCAUGUAUACAAAGUCAUGAAUGAAGUAGAAAAAUAAGUGAUGAAAAUGCAAAAACUUCCAAUGGUUGAAUCAUUGAAUGGGGCAAAGCAAAAGUAUUUUCUUUGAAAUGAUACUCUUGAAUAAAAAUACGAGACGUUACACAUUUUUAUUGGAUGUCGGUAUUUUUUGGAGUAAAAUAAAACAAAAAUGAUACUUCAUGUAUCAAAAUGAGAAAAAAAAGUUCAAAUACCAAAGUGAGAAAAUAAUAUAAUUCAAGAAUUAAAUUAUGACUUAAGCCUUAAUUAGUAAGGUGGAGAAACUUGAGCACUUUUUAUGAAUUUGUUAACAAUAUUAGUACUAUCAUCUAUCAACGGUCAAUACUAUUAACACUUUAAAAGUUGCCAUUAAAAGCGUUAUCAAUUUAGACCUACUAAUAACAUUAUAAAAAGUAAAUAAUCAAAUUAUAUCAAAUUAAAGUAAAGAAUUAAAUUUCAAAUUUUAAAUAGUUAAGCGGACUAAAACUGGAAUUAGACCAUAAAACAAAACAUAUGAAAACUUCACAAUAGAAAUUGCUCUACUCUUUGCCCUCACCUACGCCCCAUGCGAAGGGAUUGUAUGAAACUGUCAUCCCUAUCACUUCCCAAUAGGAGAAUGACAAAUUAAAUUGUUCCUCUUAAUUUUUGGCCUACAAUUGACAAAAUGGAAUUAUCAAAAACAACUCUUCAAAAGCCAUUUUUGUUAGAUAACCACUCAUCAAACUGAAAACUCAUAGGUUAGAUUAGGAUAUCAGUCUCGAAUUUGAGAUUUAAUUUUAUAUUUUAAUUAGUUUGUAUAUCCGUGCAAUAUACAAAUUGAUAGUGUAUAUUAUUUAAAAAUUAAAUUAAUUAAAAAUUUUAACGUAUAAUAUUAUUAUUUAAAAUUCAUAUAGUAGAGUAUGGUGUGACUAUCAACGAUGAAUGGUUAAUCUGUUUAAUGCAUUUAUUAAUUUUUAAUUCGAAGCUGUAAUUCAAUGAAAUAAAAUAAAAAUCCCUAAAACAUCACCAUUGAAACAUUCUGUUAAGUAUGACUCCUAUUUUCAGUCAAAUUUGAGAAAUAAUCUUUUAGUUAAACUCUGUUUAUUUGUUUCAGUCAAACACGAUUAAUUUAGAUUAUUUUAUUAUUAUUUGACAUGUGAAUUUAGCCUAUAAAUAGGCUCUUUCACAACCUUAGUAAAAACACCCAUUAGAGAUUAGAACUCAUAACACAUUUAGAGAAUUUUGUGUUUACGUUUUGAGAGUUCUUUGUUUUCGGGUUUUCGGGGUUUAGUUUUUAUCUCCAUCUUUUGUACUCUUCGUUUUUUUUUUUUGCCAUUAUAGUAAAAUUAUCUUUGCCCGUGAUUUUUUAUCCUCUUUGGAGGGGUUUUUUCACGUUAAAUUUGUGUGUUCAAUUUCUCAAUUUAUUCCGCUAUUUUUGUUACUUUUUGCUUUAAUCGGGACGAUCCCUAACACAUCCAAAGAACAAGAACGACGAAACUAAGUAUUUUUUUAAAAACAAAAGUAGGACAUCUUUAUUGAAGUAAGGCAACGACGUUUUAUAUUAAAAACAAAAAGAUAACUAAAUAAAAUAUAAUUUCUAAAACUUGAAAGAAAACAUCAAAGGAAAAAACAUAACUUCCAACCACAUUUGAACUUUCCUAAUCUAAAAUUCAGAAUACUAACAUGAAAAGCUCCCAAACAAGUUAGUUUAUAAAAUAUGAGAAAAUGAGAGCAAGCCAUAGUUGACUGUUUUCUUUUUAAUUUAAUUCAAAGUUGGAGGCUGGCAGAAAACUACAACAAUUUCAUUAAAUAAAUAUUAUUUUAUAAACAUUUCUUUACGUCAAUAAGUUCAAUCUUUCUCCUUUAUUAGUUUAGAAUUUUAAAUCUGUUUAAUAAAACUAUAUUCUAAUAUUCAAACAUUCAAAGUUAGCUAUUUUUAUAGCGUUAUAAAAUUUACAAAAAUGUAAUCAAACCUUUUGUUUUAGUCAACAGCAGCUAGUUGCACCUCUCUCUCUCUCUCUCUCUCUCUCUCUCUCUCUCUCUCUUUCAACAGCAAAGCCUCUAUAUAAGCAUAAGCACUCCUUCACUUUCAACACAACUUCACUAACUUUCCCUUGUUUCACUCUUAAACUCUAAACCCCAACUCUCCAGAUUUCAUAUUGCAAACGAUGGCGUCAUUGGAUUCAAAAGAAUCACCUGCCAAUAACCCAGGCCUUCAUUUUCCCCCUGACGAAGCCACCAAAGGCUACAUCAUGCAGCAAACCGUAAGUUCCUGUUUUGGGUGUUUACAAUACGUACAUUGCUAUGGCUUUCAAGG
rnacentral:lncRNA from 1 species